AGAGUUUGAUCCUGGCUCAGAAUCAACGCUGGCGGCGUGCCUAACACAUGCAAGUCGCACGAGAAAGGGUAGCAAUACCCGAGUAAAGUGGCGCACGGGUGAGUAACACGUGACUAACCUACCCUCGAGUGGGGAAUAACCUAGAGAAAUCUGGGCUAAUACCGCAUAACACUUACGAGUCAAAGCAGCAAUGCGCUUGGGGAGGGGGUCGCGGCCGAUUAGCUAGUUGGCGGGGUAAUGGCCCACCAAGGCGAUGAUCGGUAUCCGGCCUGAGAGGGCGCACGGACACACUGGAACUGAAACACGGUCCAGACUCCUACGGGAGGCAGCAGUGGGGAAUUUUGCGCAAUGGGGGAAACCCUGACGCAGCAACGCCGCGUGGAGGAUGAAAUAUCUUGGUAUGUAAACUCCUUUCGAUGGGGAAGAUUAUGACGGUACCCAUAGAAGAAGCCCCGGCUAACUUCGUGCCAGCAGCCGCGGUAAUACGAGGGGGGCAAGCGUUGUUCGGAUUUAUUGGGCGUAAAGGGUGCGUAGGCGGUUUGGCAAGUCUGAUGUGAAAUCUAUGGGCUCAACCCAUAGUCUGCAUCAGAAACUGCCGGGCUUGAGUAUGGGAGAGGUGAGUGGAAUUUCCGGUGUAGCGGUGAAAUGCGUAGAUAUCGGAAGGAACACCUGUGGCGAAAGCGGCUCACUGGACCAUUACUGACGCUGAUGUACGAAAGCUAGGGGAGCAACAGGAUUAGAUACCCNNGUAGUCC
rnacentral:rRNA from 1 species